rnacentral:rRNA from 1 species
GAUGAACGCUAGCGGCAGGCCUAACACAUGCAAGUCGAGGGAUAAGCCUUCGGGCUAAGACCGGCGCACGGGUGCGUAACGCGUAUACAAUCUGCCUUUUAUCCGGGGGAUAGCCCGAAGAAAUUUGGAUUAAUACCCUAUGGUAUAAGAGCACGGCAUCGUGCACUUAUUAAAGCUACGGCGGUAAAAGAUGAGUAUGCGUUCUAUUAGCUAGUUGGAGAGGUAACGGCUCCCCAAGGCGACGAUAGAUAGGGGUUCUGAGAGGGAUGUCCCCCACACUGGUACUGAGAUACGGACCAGACUCCCACGGGAGGCAGCAGUGAGGAAUAUUGGACAAUGGUCGGAAGACUGAUCCAGCCAUGCCGCGUGCAGGAUGACGGCCUUAUGGGUUGUAAACUGCUUUUGUAAGGGAAGAAUAAGGAGUACGUGUACUUUGAUGACGGUACCUUACGAAUAAGCAUCGGCUAACUCCGUG